ACGCUUUGUGGUUCAACUGAUUUGAAGAGCUUGCUCAGAUAUGACGAUGGACAUUGCAAAGAGUGGCGAACGGGUGAGUAACACGUGGGAAACCUACCUCUUAGCAGGGGAUAACAUUUGGAAACAGAUGCUAAUACCGUAUAACAAUGACAACCGCAUGGUUGUUAUUUAAAAGAUGGUUCUGCUAUCACUAAGAGAUGGUCCCGCGGUGCAUUAGCUAGUUGGUAAGGUAAUGGCUUACCAAGGCGAUGAUGCAUAGCCGAGUUGAGAGACUGAUCGGCCACAAUGGGACUGAGACACGGCCCAUACUCCUACGGGAGGCAGCAGUAGGGAAUCUUCCACAAUGGGCGAAAGCCUGAUGGAGCAACGCCGCGUGUGUGAUGAAGGGUUUCGGCUCGUAAAACACUGUUGUAAGAGAAGAAUGACAUUGAGAGUAACUGUUCAAUGUGUGACGGUAUCUUACCAGAAAGGAACGGCUAAAUACGUGCCAGCAGCCGCGGUAAUACGUAUGUUCCAAGCGUUAUCCGGAUUUAUUGGGCGUAAAGCGAGCGCAGACGGUUAUUUAAGUCUGAAGUGAAAGCCCUCAGCUCAACUGAGGAAUUGCUUUGGAAACUGGAUGACUUGAGUGCAGUAGAGGAAAGUGGAACUCCAUGUGUAGCG
rnacentral:rRNA from 1 species